GCCUGGUUAACUCAAUUGGCAGAGUGUCAGACUCUUAUCUCUCUCUGAAGAUAAUUUCUGAGGAUACAAGGUUAUCUGAAAGCUGCGGGUUCGACCCCCGCAUCGGGCU
rnacentral:tRNA from 1 species